rnacentral:lncRNA from 1 species
GGAAACCAAAGAGAAACCCAAUACAAAUCCCUUUUAUAAAGGUCACAAAAUCAGAAAUUGGGGCACACAAGAAACGGGUUGAUGUUUUCGUCGGAUUCCGCCGACAUCUUGGCCGUGUAGGGCGGAGCGAAGUCGGAGCUGCGCUGGUUUCGCAACGAUGAGUUCAAAUUUCUUCUUGAUUUCAUUUUUUCCGGUCGCCACCGCCAACGGAAACCCAAAUAAGGGUUUUUGAGAAGCUUGACCUCCUGCCGGAAAAACAUGAGCGAAUCCUUGAUUUCAGAUGUGUGAAAAUAGGUUUUAUUGUUUUAUGGGUCAUGGUACUAUAGAGAAGAGGAACAAUGGUGAUGUGUU